UACGGGGGGUGCGAGCGUUGUCCGGAAUUACUGGGCGUAAAGGGCGCGUAGGCGGCAGAUUAAGUCAGCUGUGAAAUCUCCGAGCUUAACUCGGAACUGUCAGCUGAUACUGUUUUGCUAGAGUGCGGAAGGGGCAAUCGGAAUUCUUGGUGUAACGGUGAAAUGCGUAGAUAUCAAGAGGAACACCUGAGGUGAAGACGGGUUGCUGGGCCGACACUGACGCUGAGUGCGCGAAAGCCAGGGGAGCAAACAGG
rnacentral:rRNA from 1 species